rnacentral:rRNA from 1 species
UAGGGAAUCUUCGGCAAUGGACGAAAGUCUGACCGAGCAACGCCGCGUGAGUGAAGAAGGUUUUCGGAUCGUAAAACUCUGUUGUUAGAGAAGAACAAGGACGUUAGUAACUGAACGUCCCCUGACGGUAUCUAACCAAAAAGCCACGGCUAACUACGUGCCAGCAGCCGCGGUAAUACGUAGGUGGCAAGCGUUGUCCGGAUUUAUUGGGCGUAAAGCGAGCGCAGGCGGUUUCUUAAGUCUGAUGUGAAAGCCCCCGGCUCAACCGGGGAGGGUCAUUGGAAACUGGGAGAGUUGAGUGCAGAAGAGGAGAGUGGAAUUCCAUGUGUAGCGGUGAGAUGCGUAGAUAUAUGGAGGAACACCAGUGGCGAGGGCGGCUCUCUGGUCUGUAACUGACGCUGAGGCUCGAAAGCGUGGGGAGCAAACAGG